UACGGGGGGGCCAAGCGUUGUUCGGAAUUACUGGGCGUAAAGGGUUUGUAGGUGGCCAACUAAGUCAGACGUGAAAUCCCUCAGCUUAACUGGGGAACUGCGUCUGAUACUGGUUGGCUUGAGUGCAGGAGAGGAAUGCGGAAUUCCAGGUGUAGCGGUGAAAUGCGUAGAUAUCUGGAGGAACACCGGUGGCGAAGGCGGCAUUCUGGACUGCAACUGACACUGAAGAACGAAAGCCAGGGGAGCAAACGGG
rnacentral:rRNA from 1 species